CAUCACGCCAGUGAAAGAAACAAUACUCAAGGUUGAAACUACAGAGUAGAAGAACAAACACACGCAAGUAACAUUCGCAAUUAUUCAAACAAUCAAGCAAGCAUCAUGAAUGUUCAAUUUCUGAUCACAUUGGUUAUUGCACUGGGGCUUGUAACCAGUCUGGAAGCGGUUUGCUGCAAAAGAAAAGGCAAUUUCUUAUGCUGUGGAAAUGGGAAAUGCAAUAUAUUCUGCUGUAAUUGUGAUGGCGGUUGCAAUGAGCAAUGCGAAUCUACUCAUUGUAGCACAAGCGACUGGGUAAAGUGUGCUGGUGCCAUUGCCGGAUGUGCUGGUGUCUGUUCUCUUUCUGAAAUCGACUUGCCAGCGUGUAUUGCGUGUCUCGGCCCAGCGUAUUCGACAUGUAAGAAAUGCUACACAUCAAAUGUAAGCAAAGGCAGAGCUAUCAACGAUACUAUGUACAUGAUGGAGGCUUAUCACAAGGAAUUAUACCACUAUAAUGCGGAUACUCCGUUGGCAGCCAAUCCUGAUCUGCUCGGAAAGAUUAAUAGAGAUGAACUUUAAGCAUCUAUAAAUUUAGUACAUUUUUAACAUACUGAUAUUAUGACUGCUUUGCUCUUUAUUCUUUUUAUAUUUUUUGAUACAAUGUAACUAUUAUGAUUUGAGGCAUUAUUGUACCAAGUUGAAAUAAAUGUUGGUGAAAAUCUUAGAACAAGAUUUCACGAAACCA